CGGUUCAAUUUUAGAUACGACUUCGGUAACGUAAUCGUAGAAGCUCGAUCUACAUUUUGACCGAACGUUUUGAGGAUCAUGUUCGGAUUGGAGACUUUAAUUGGUUCUCCAAUGUAGAGUCCAAGUGAUUAGAGUUCAAGGGAGUGUUCGAGUUGGAGUCCAAUGCAGCCAAGAUGAUAUUUCUUUGGCUGCAGGUACUUCGGUAUAGUCGAUGGGUCGGUAGCAGUGUGCUUGGGAUAUUAUGACUGAAGCUCGCUGCGACAGUUGUAAUUGUCGGACCACGGGUUGUCCACUAUUUUAUAGGUUUGGUAUGGCUUGUGACGUUUGUGUCACUUAUUCUUUGUUAAGCCAUUAUUGUUAUAGUGUUAAUAAGACUCAAACAGAUAGAUGUUAAAUGGCUCUUUGUUGUAAUUAAUUUGUGAUAGAUGUAUAAGUUGUAAUUUCCGCUA